ACACCAUGGGAGUGGGUUGCAAAAGAAGUAGGUAGCUUAACCUUCGGGAGGGCGCUUACCACUUUGUGAUUCAUGACUGGGGUGAAGUCGUAACAAGGUAACCGUAGGGGAACCUGCGGUUGGAUCACCUCCUUACCUUAAAGA
rnacentral:rRNA from 1 species